GCAUACAUCACACAGUGCUGACCGCACACACACAGCAUCGCACGCGCGCGCACACACACACACACGCAGCAGCGCCGCGCAGCUCCUCGCGAACACUCGCGCGCCCGCCGCCGGCUGCCUGCCGCACGCCGCCGCCCGCCCGCCGCCGCCGCGGCUUGCCCCCGCCCGUGCGCGGAUCUCGGCACUCGGACCGCGCAGCGCAGCCUUCGUCCUCCCAGUCGUGGGUCCCCGCCUCCCCUGCUCGCCCGCCCCCGCGGCCGUCCGUGGCUCUCCCCAGCUCGCCGGCCGCCGCCGGCCCGAAGGGAGCCUGGACGUCGCGCCUGCGCCCCCAUCACCCCCUCUCCGACGGCAGCGCCUGCGCAGAUCUAUGCGGGUCGUGCAGCGUCUGCUGCCCUCCUGUCCGCAACGGAGGCAGCACGGCAACAAUUGGCUCCACAAGCUGAGGAUCUCCUUUCUCUCCUCUUUUUAUUUGUUCAUUCUAAUAUUUGCUUAACUCAUGGAGUGAAUCACCCUUAAUUUCAUAAGACUAGAUCUAAUUCCUGACUUUUUCAAUAGCUACCAGUUCAUAGUUUUGGAGCUUCACUUUAUUUUCACAUGCUAGAUUGGUCUUGGCCUAGUUGCAAUAGAUGGUAUUUCUCUGCAAUAGUAUAAGGCUGCAAGCAGAAUGAUAUGCUGAAAUAGUUUGGUCUGUUUAACUAAAGAAGGCUCUAUUUUGCGGGACAGUACCGUAAUGCAGUUUUAUUUCAGAGUAGCAGAGUGUGCUUUUCUCCUGUCUUGCAAAGUCCUUUGAUAGAUACGAUUUUACAGUACUAUAAUGUAUAAGUUGCCAUUUGGUUAGACUACUCUAAAAGAUGCAGUUAGCCAUGUAAAAUGUCAGUUUCAUGCUGCAACAUCGAUAGUUUUCAGUAGCUGGUUUGCUACUAGGUUUUUAUUGAUCGUGUUACUCUUAUUUUAGGCCCUGUUUAGUCCCCCACCUAAAAAAUUUUAGGCCUUAGAAUUCAGACCGUAGCCCUUUUAUUUGAUCAACUCUUAACUUGGCACAUGUUUGUUCAUAACUGAUUGAUAUGAGUCUGAGAUUUAGUACAGAGCUAGUCUAUGAGUUCAGCUAUAUUUUUUGAUGCAAGUCUAUGUAUUUUGUUUGUCCUAUACCUCAAAGACCGUGUUUUCUUUAUCUUUUUUACCUCAACAGAUGAUGCCUCAUGUAGAGAGAACCAAAUGAUUGUUCAAGUGAAUACAGAUGAUGAACUAAAUGUAUGACACAGCUCUCAGGUGUCCGAUUUUGAGUUACCUGCUUUACUAGGUAAUUACCCAUUAGUAAAGAACACUGCAAGAAAGGAUCGGUUAACUUGCUUACUGAUUUGAGCUUGCUCACGUGCAAUCUCUCUUUUUCACCAUCAAUCGGGAGCGGCGUCGAACCAUGUCGAAGGGUUACCGGCAUCACACAUCGGGCCAUCCCUAUCUGGACCGUCGUCAGGAUCGCACGCUGGAGCGUCCCAACCCUCCCCGGCAUCGCAUAAUGGACCGUCGCCGUGAGCCGUCUUCGGAGUCAUUUUUAUGUAUUAAACUUGUGAAUUUGGAAUAAUGUGUACUUUUGAAUGUGUGGUUUGUAAUAUAUCGUGGAUUUUGUAUAAAUUUGUUCGUUUGUGAUAUAUAAAUGUAGUUUGUGAUAUAUUACUGUUGAAUUGUGGUUUGUGAUA
rnacentral:lncRNA from 1 species